UACAGAGGUCUCAAGCGUUGUUCGGAUUCAUUGGGCGUAAAGGGUGCGUAGGCGGCGGAGCAAGUCAGGUGUGAAAUCCCGGGGCUCAACCCCGGAACUGCACUUGAUACUGCGGUGCUCGAGUACUGGAGAGGAGAUUGGAAUUUACGGUGUAGCAGUGAAAUGCGUAGAUAUCGUAAGGAAGACCAGUGGCGAAGGCGAAUCUCUGGACAGUUACUGACACUGAGGCACGAAGGCCAGGGGAGCAAACGGG
rnacentral:rRNA from 1 species